rnacentral:rRNA from 1 species
GUCCUCUUGUUUAUUUUGGAGGUCUGACCUGCCCGGUGAAUUUAAUUUUAACGGCCGCGGUAUAUUGACCGUGCAAAGGUAGCAUAAUCAUUAGUCUUUUAAUAGAGGGCUGGAAUGAAGGGUUUAACGAAUCAUCAGCUGUCUCAUUUAUAUGAAUUAAAAUUUAAUUUUUGAGUUAAAAAGCUCAAAUUAUGUUGGAGGACGAGAAGACCCUAUAGAGCUUUAUAUUGAUUUUUUUAAUAAAUUAUUGUUUUAUAUUUAAUUAUUAAUUGAUUAAGUAUUUUGUUGGGGUGACAAAAAUAAAUAAUUAACUUUUUUAUAUUAUUAUCAUAAAUUUAUGAAUCUUCGAUCCAAUUUUAUUGAUUAUUAGAUUAAGUUACCUUAGGGAUAACAGCGUAAUCUUUUUUAGGAGUUCAAAUUUACAAAAAGGCUUGCGACCUCGAUGUUGGAUUAAGAUUAUAAUUUGGUGCAGUAGCUAAAUUAAUAGGUCUGUUCGACCUUUAAAUUCUUACAUGAUCUGAGUUCAGACCGG